CCCGUUGUGAACGGAGUUGAUCAAGCAAAAGUUAUUUAUGCUCGAGCUGUGCGUUUUCUUUUAAACGAUAUCAAAAAUGUUAAUUGUAAAACCUUGGUUUCUGCAGAAGUUUGCAAAAAAGUUGCUGAUUAUGCUAAAAGUCUUAAACUGAGCACAACUGACGCCACAAACCCCGUUAAAGAAGCCAUCGUCCAGGGUGCUAACAAUGCUGC
rnacentral:lncRNA from 1 species